UACGAAGGGUGCAAACGUUGCUCGGAAUCAUUGGGCGUAAAGCGCACGUAGGCGGCUUCGCAAGUCGGAUGUGAAAUCCCUCGGCUCAACCGAGGACGUGCAUCCGAAACUGCGGAGCUUGAGUACUGAAGAGGAUCGCGGAAUUCCCGGUGUAGAGGUGAAAUUCGUAGAUAUCGGGAGGAACACCAGUGGCGAAGGCGGCGAUCUGGGCAGUUACUGACGCUGAGGCGCGAGAGCGUGGGGAGCAAACCAG
rnacentral:rRNA from 1 species